UAGAGUUUGAUCAUGGCUCAGAUUGAACGCUGGCGGUAUGCUUAACACAUGCAAGUCGAACGGAAACGAUACUAGCUUGCUAGUAGGCGUCGAGUGGCGGACGGGUGAGUAACGCGUAGGAAUCUACCAGAUAGUGGGGGAUAGCCCGGAGAAAUUCGGAUUAAUACCGCAUAAUCUCUACGGAGUAAAGGAGGCCUCUAUUUAUAUGCCUUCGCUAUCUGAUGAGCCUGCGUAAGAUUAGCUAGUUGGUGAGGUAAAAGCUCACCAAGGCGACGAUCUUUAGCUGGUCUGAGAGGAUGAUCAGCCACACUGGGACUGAGACACGGCCCAGACUCCUACGGGAGGCAGCAGUGGGGAAUAUUGGACAAUGGGGGCAACCCUGAUCCAGCAAUACCGCGUGUGUGAAGAAGGCCUGAGGGUUGUAAAGCACUUUCAAUUGUGAAGAAAAGUUAAUAGUUAAUAACUAUUAGCCUAGACGUAACUUAGAAGAGCCCGCA
rnacentral:rRNA from 1 species